GGGCUUGUGGUUUAGUGGUAUAAUACUCCCUUAGCAUGACACGGCGACGAUCCACCUGGUUGAAGCGGUCUGAUUUGGGAGUGGUCCGGGGUUCGAUUCCCCGCGAGUCCA